CUGAUGGGAAACAAGGGCGUAUGGUGGAUGCCUUGGCUUAAGAAGGCGAUGAAGGACGUAGCGUGGCGACGAUACGCUUCGGGGAGGUGCCGAGCAACCUUUGAUCCGAAGAUGUCCGAAUGGGGAAACCCCUCGCGGUAAAACCGCGAGACUCCGACGCAAGUCGGAGAGCAUACCCUGGGAAGUAAAACAUUUCAGUACCAGGAGGAGUAGAAACCAAUAAGUAUUCCGUCAGUAGCGGCGAGCGAACGCGGAGAAGCCCAAACCGUCCGCAUCACAUGGAAUGUGAUGGGCUAGGCACUAGGCGUUAGGCACUAGGCACUAGGGAAGAAAUUUCCCAGAGCCUAAAGCCUUCUUGCCUAGAGCGUAGCAUCAUCGCGCUCCGCGCGAUGCGGAUGGGGUUGUAAGGCAGUGACGUCGUAUUUAUACGAGGAAAGUUACAAAAUUGUUUGUUAGUGGAAUCUGCUGGAAAGCGGAACCCUAGAGGGUGAUGGUCCCGUACACGAAAACAAACAGUCUUUCUUGUCGCUGUUCUUGAGUACUUCAAGACACGAAUAGCUUGAGGGAACCCGCCGGAACUAACCGGCAAGGCUAAAUACUUCUUAAGACCGAUAGUGAACUAGUACCGUGAGGGAAAGGUGAAAAGCAGCCCGGUGAGGGCGGUGAAAUAGACCUGAAACCAUAUGCUUACAAGGAGUCAUAGCGGGCACAUCACACUGCGUGUGAUGUUUAAUAUCGAAGUUCGAAUAUCGAAUCUCGAAAAAUAUCAAAAUGAAGAAACAGGGAAAUAUAAGAGAAAUCUUCUUUUAGCUUUCUUGUUUAAUUAUUCAGUAUUUUUCGGAUUUCGAAAUUCGGUAUUCGAUAUUUCACAUCGCGCCUGGCGCGAUGUGUCCGUGGUGGCGUGCCUAUUGAAGAAUGAGCCAACGAGUUGAUGCAUACUGCAAGGCUAAGCCCUUUCAGGGUGGAGCCGUAGGGAAACCGAGUGUUAAUAGCGCGACCAGUAGUAUUCAUCAGACCCGAAGCCAGGUGAGCUUACCAUGAGCAGGAUGAACCCCGACGAAAGUCGGGGGGAGGUCCGAACGAUAGAGCUGUGCAAUACUCUUCGAUGACUUGUGGUAAGGAGUGAUAAGCUAAUCGAACUUGGUAAUAGCUGGUUCUCUCCGAAAUAGCUUUAGGGCUAGCGUCGUGUGUUCCUCUUGGGGGUAGAGCUCUGGAUGGUCUAAAUAGGUAGAAAUACCGUUAGACCAAUCAAACUUCGAAUACCGAGAGUCAUAGCACGGCAGUUAGACCGUGGGGGCUAAGCUCCAAAGGUCAAAAAGGGAAGAGCCUUUGAUCUCCAGUUAAGGUCCCAAAAUCUGCGCUCAGUACAUCACAAGGAAGUGGAAUUUCUUAGACAAUGAGGAUGUAGGCUUAGAAGCAGCCAUCAUUGAAAGAAAGCGUAACAGCUCACUCAUCGAGAGAUUCUGCACCGAAGAUGAUCGGGGUUAAGCGCAGUACCGAAACUGAGGG
rnacentral:rRNA from 1 species